CCUACGGGUGGCAGCAGUGGGGGAUAUUGGGCAAUGGAGGCAACUCUGACCCAGCAAUGCCGCGUGAGUGAUGAAGGUAAUUUUAUUGUAAAGCUCUUUUCUUUGGAACGAAUAAAUGACGGUACCAAAGGAAUAAGCCCCGGCUAACUACGUGCCAGCAGCCGCGGUAAUACUUAGGGGGCAAGCGGUGUUCGGAAUGACUGGGCGUAAAGGGUGUGUAGGGGGUUUGAUAAGUUAGUUGGGUAAUACCCAGGGCUUAACUCGGGUGCCGCAUCUAAAACUGUUAGACUUGAGUGAAGGAGAGGAUAGUGGAAUUCCUAGUGUAGCGGUGGAAUGCGUAGAUAUUAGGAGGAACACCAGUGGCGAAGGCGACUAUCUGGACAGCAACUGACGCUGAGGCACGAAAGCGUGGGGAGCAAACAGGAUUAGAUACCCGAGUAGUC
rnacentral:rRNA from 1 species